rnacentral:rRNA from 1 species
CCCUUAGAUGUUCUGGGCCGCACGCGUGCUACACUGAGUGGAUCAGCGGGUCAGGUUGCGCGAAAGCGUUUCCUAAUCUUGAAAUCCGCUCGUGAUGGGGAUUGACGGUUGCAAUUUUCUGUCAUGAACGAGGAAUACCUUGUAAGCGCGAGUCAUCAUCCCGCGCUGAAUACGUCCCUGCCCUUUGUACACACCGCCCGUCGCUCCUACCGAUUGAGUGGUCCGGUGAGGCUUUGGGAUCUGAGCGGAAAGAGCGUUUCGCCCGUUCUGCCCGGAAAACUCAGUCGAACCUUAUCAUUUAGAGGAAGGAGAAGUCGUAACA